GGAAUAUUGGACAAUGGGCGCAAGCCUGAUCCAGCCAUGCCGCGUGCAGGAUGACGGUCCUAUGGAUUGUAAACUGCUUUUAUACAGGAAGAAACACUGGUUCGUGAACCAGCUUGACGGUACUGUAAGAAUAAGGAUCGGCUACCUACGUGCCAGCAGCCGCGGUAAUACGGAGGAUCCAAGCGUUAUCCGGAAUCAUUGGGUUUAAAGGGUCCGUAGGCGGUUUAGUAAGUCAGUGGUGAAAGCCCAUCGCUCAACGGUGGAACGGCCAUUGAUACUGCUAAACUUGAAUUGUUAGGAAGUAACUAGAAUAUGUAGUGUAGCGGUGAAAUGCUUAGAGAUUACAUGGAAUACCAAUUGCGAAGGCAGGUUACUACUAAUUGAUUGACGCUGAUGGACGAAAGCGUGGGUAGCGAAC
rnacentral:rRNA from 1 species